rnacentral:sRNA from 1 species
GGUGGAGGUGAAGAAGUUUGUGAAGAUCGGCCGCCCAGGCUACAAAGUGACCAAGCAGAGAGACUCGGAGAUGGGCCAGCAGAGCCUCCUCUUCCAGGUGAGAUCAGGGACUUGGGCGUGGGGGGCGGCCAAAGGCACCCGAGAGGCGGCACUGCCACCUGGCUGUGUCCCUGCAGAUUGACUACCCUGAGAUCGCCGAGGGCAUCAUGCCACGCCACCGCUUCAUGUCUGCGUACGAGCAGAGGAUCGAGCCUCCGGACCGGCGCUGGCAGUACCUGCUCAUGGCCGCCGAGCCCUAUGAGACCAUUGCCUUCAAGGUAGCAUGGCUGCGGGGUUCCCCGGGCCCCCUGAGAUGUGCAAGCCGGAAGGAUCUGCACAGGCCGGGCAGGGCACCUAUCGGGCUGCAGGGUCCCCUGGCCCCUGCCCUGAGUCGGAGCCAGAAGGGUCUGCACAGGCCGGGCAGGGCACCUCUGCCAUUGGGCUCUGCGGGAGGGGCCU